UGUGACAGGGGCGGGCCAGGUUGGAUGGGUUCUGCUGACUGGAUUUAAAGCCCUGGACCAGGAGAUUGUGUCUUUGUGGGGCCAAGUAGUGGCCCAGGAGCAGCAAAUUGAUGGCCUGGAGCGUUAACUACGCUUGGAACAUGCAGCGUUAGAGGCUUUUGGCCAGCAGGGUCGGGAGCUGGAGCUUUUGGUGUCCCGCACCGCUGGCACACGGUCAAUGGAACAGGGUGCAGGUAAAUAUCUUCAAAUGCCUGGAAUUUCAGAAUUCAAACAGAGACAUUACAAGUUCCUGUUCACUGCUUUGCACCAGAAACAGUCUCCAUGAAUCUGUAAAGGCAGCAGGAUUGAAGCAUGAGAGGCAAUGGAGUCUAAGGAGAUGGUCAGAUACAAACCUUGUCUCAAAAGGCUUGAAGAUGGGAAGGCCUCACAGGAUAGAAAUGUAUGUAUGGACUACACACCUCAAAAAAUUGUAAUUACUGGUGUAGCUUUUCUUUGCCUUCUCUUUGGAUGCCAUGCAACUGAGGAGCAACAUAUAAGCAGCAGAAGAGGCCUGUGUUAGAAACUAUCCAAGUGUAAGAUAAAGGAGACAAAAAGAAGGAAUGUCUGUCUUCAUCAAACUUUGUUUAUUAGUUGACAGCAAUAGAUUGAAACAAAACUGACAAAAACAGAAUUAUGGCUAUCCACGAAGACAAUGGUGAAAAAGCGGAUAUUCAAAAUGUCUUUGGCAAAUGAAGACUAUUUGGUAGCCCUUGCACUAGAAGACCAAAGAAAGUUAAAUGGCAGAAAUGACAGAAGGGAUAAAAUUUACUGUUGAGUCUUUGAGAUGGCAAUUACAGAUGUAAGUUACAGUAAUUUGUUUUAAAUGUGAAUAGUUCUUACCUGUUUUCUGUGUUCUGUUUCUGUGAAUACAGUGUGCUCAUCAUCACUUUUGUCACUGUAACUCUCUGCUGCUUCAAUGGGAACACAGGUACUGUGACUGCUGGAAAGAUCUUCGUAUUUCCUUGAUAUUGAGGAAUGCUCUUCAUUCUGGUAACACUCUAUGUCAAAGCCAUUGUUGUCUAUGUAUUUUCUGACAUCUGUCAUGGCAUAAUUAUUAUCCUCUAUGUUUUUG